GAAAGUUCGUGUGAGGGCGUUGUGUAAGACCCGGAGGAUAAUAUGGCCGAUCGAACUACGAAUGUUCAAAUGCUGCGCGUUGAUAGCUGCGCACUGGCAUGCAUCACUCGUCAUGUUUACACCGGACGACUGUCGUUUUUAGUUUUCACUCACUGAAGCAUGUUUAUAAGCAUACGGCGGUGAAACUACUUUAAUAAUACUUCGUUACUAGUAAAUGUAGCAUUGAUAAUGCUGAGAUGUAAGUUCAUGUGAUAUACUUAUGGUGAGGUGCAUUCGACGAAAUAAAAAAAGUCCACCGCCAUGCGAAAAGAGCGGGAAAGCCAUAGUUAAGGUGGGAGCAAGGAUUAAAAUCUUAGUGGGGAGACCAACACCUAUUUACUUAUGCGAAAUAUCACUUUUUCCUAAAUGAUUAAUAACUUAUAUACGUUGAUGAGAAAAUAUAUACAAUGACGAUACAAUCAUAUGCUAAGUAUUAAAAAAUUAUAUACAUAUGUAUGUGCAAUUAUUCGAACAUUUGUUAGAUACAAUAUUAAAAUUUUUUUGUCAAGCAUGAGACACAAAAAAUGUCUUGACUUUCAAUCAGUUUUUUAUUGUAACAGUUCUAAUCAUAAGUUUGCAUUGAAGUAAACAGAUAUUACACGUUAGUACACUAUAUGAUAUAUAUAAAUUAGUGAGUAAAUUAACAAAUAUGAUAUUGAAAUAAAAGAAUACAAUGAUUUCUAGUAAAAGUAUAUAAUUAAGUAAGAAACUGUUUUUUUUUAAAUAUAUAGUUUAUUAAUACAUUUUAUAAAAUUAUCGUGAAUGAAAUAUUUACAUAUGAUAUAUUAUAUGAAUUUGAUAUUAACAGUUUUAUCAUGUAUAUGUAACAAAAAGGACUUCCCAUAAUUGUUUUAUUAACCAGUUAAAGAUAUUAGAUGAGCUAUGUAAAUAAAAGGAUUAGUUUGAAAUAAUUUGUAUUAUUAGAUUAUAAAUUACAAGGAAGAUAAAUUGUACAAAUAGUAUGUAGAAAUACGUGUAAAACGUUAUAAAAAUAAUUCCAAUUGUUAUAUUUUUUUCUUAUAAUAAUAAUAUAUUUACUUCCUAAAUAUAUUAAAUAGUAUACAUAAACGUCCCAAACUAUAACAGUAACUGACUUCUUUUAUGUUAAUAUUGAUAACAUAAAACAUGUUUUAUACGUAUCUUACAUAAUUCUUUUUUAACAAAAACAACGAAAAACAAAUAUAAACUAUGAAUACGAAAGAUCAAUGUAAAAAUAUUAGAGUUAUAGCGUAAACAUAAAUAUAUAACAAUUAAAAUUUGUGUUAUGUGUAUGUAGAAAUUAAAUAAAUUUCUAUCUGAACAACCUAUAUUCCAUGCAUGUCACAGGCUUGUUGAUCCAUGGAAUUUUUAAUAUCAACUUUUAAAAUAUAAAUAACUACUAUGGCCAUUAUGAUUGUAACUAUCAUAGAAAAGAAUAAUAAAUGCUUCAAGAAAGCAACAUCAUUGUACAAC